GCCCGUAUGAAGGCUACCUCCAUCUCCUUAUGGUACUCCUCCAUUGACUUAGAACCCUGUCGGAGCAUGCUUGAAUAACACAAAAAUCAAGAAGGACUUUGCUGGGGCGAAAAUACUAGUUUGGUGGAGCAUGCCUAUGUAAUGUAAAAAUCAGAAAAGAUCACGCUGGAGCGAAACAUUGAUUCAGUGGUACAAGUUCUGAAAGUAUCUAACACGAGAUUCUUCAAUUGGAGCGAUAUAAUCUUUCCUUUGAAGCAUGACCACUUCUUGGAUUUUCCUAACUUGUGAUUGCGUGAUUGAUCUAGUUGGCACGUGAAAUUUUUGAAGAUAUUUGCUUAUUGCCUGGUCACAAGUUGGUUCAUAUCAUGUAAGCCUCAAAGUUCAAACAUAUAACCCUCUAGUGUAAAAAAACUUGAUAAGUUUCAAAACAAUAGUAGUUUUCCGAUAGAAAUCCAUGUUGAAUACAGGUCAAGCUGCAACCGAUAUUGGUGGCAUCAGGCAUUAGUGUAUUUGGAUAUUUUCACAUUUUAGUUUUUUCUGUUUUUUCUUUUUCUUCUUCUUAUUUGGAUUGGGAAAAAAUAUGAUAAUUUACUUCAUGAAUUAUUAUAAACCAAAUUGUUGGAUUCAUGGGUUACUUGAUCUUUCGUUUAUAGGGCAAAGCCAAUAGUAGAACUUGUCAGGACCCGCCAACUGAUUAGGUACUCUGAUCUUCUUGGGUCAUGUAACCGUGUAUUCUGCCCAUAAGCCGAUAUUGUCUCAUUUGGGCACCCACUUGUCCUAAAAAGUUUUGUCACCCGAAGGUGUGCCUCUCUAAGUUCUCAAACUCAAGCCCUGCCCAUAUAGGAUUUCACUUUGUAACAAUGGUAACAAAGCCUUGAAGGAUCUAUGGGGUGCCCAGAGGGAACAACGCCGGCUUAUAUAUUCACGAUCCAAAGAAUGAGAGUACUUUAACGGUUGAUGGGUCGUGACAAGAACCCUUACAUUACAAUGUUUGAAAUUCAGUACUAUUUGGUACAAUAUUGACUAUCUCACAAAGACUGAUUUUCAGUGAAUUUCCGUUUACUGAACCUAUCUUUUACAGAUUCGAUCCAAUACAUGAAAAUCUGCAGCUUAGCAUGUCUAGAAGCACAGGAAACUGUUCUUUUGCUGCUAUUAUUAUAUAUAGGUGAAUGUACCUAAGAGGUCCCUUUAUUGUAGGGACUUGAUCAAAUUAGUCUAUUACUAAAUAGAUCAAUUUAGUCCUUAUACUAUUAAAAUGAAUCAAAUAAAGCCAAAUUGGAAUAGAGUUUACAUUUAUUGUUUAAAAAAUAUCAUUUAUUGUUUAACGGAGUUAACAUUUUAAAAGUUUUUAUGAUUUUGCAAAUGAAAUUUUUUGUUUAGAAUUGAACUGCAAUUGAGAAAAAUAAUUGUCAAGACAUUUCUAUGCAGUAAUGUUAACUCUGUUAGAAUUUGGAUUUGUUUGAUUCUUUUUAAUAAUACAGGGACUAAAUUGAUCCAGUCCCUAUAAAACAGGGACUUUCCAGGUACUUUAACCAUUAUAUAUCACAUAUUGUUUUGAAACUUAAACCUGAUAUGAUAGUAAUAAAAAACUUCAUUGGUUUUUUUAUAGUUCGAUUAAGUUUAGAAGACAUCUUAUCAAUGCUUUGUGCAGGGUUUAAGAUUACAUUUAGAUUAUUCGGGAACGAAAGAUCAUCGUCGAAGGGGCUCGGGUUCAGGAUGCAUGGAUUAUGCGAACUCCGAUGCAUGGAAUACGGCAUGCAACACCGUUGCCGCAGGGGCAGCCGUUGUUGCUGGGCUGAGCUUAUUAGCAUACUUGAGGAAAGCCGGUAAUUAGCAUUCUUAAAAAACUUCCAAUAUAUAUAUAUGAAGAACAAUGCAAUGAAUUUCUUUAGGAUUGAAUGCCCAAAUUCCUUUUAUGUUUGAUUUUAUUUUCCUUAAUUUUUGGGGGUCUAUACAAAUUAAGAUAUCAAUUUAUUUUUAGCGGGGGGGAAGGCUUGUUGCUUAGUUUACAAGGUUGAGCUGUGUGGCUGUCUCCCCCCUUUAAUGAAGGGUGAAAUUACAAUGUAUAAAAUAUAAUUUAUUAUAUGAUAGCAGUCGUUUGUUUCAGAUUUCAA
rnacentral:lncRNA from 1 species